CACACCUGGGAACAAUCAAGGGCUGGCAGGACAACACAGACACUCCCAAGGAACAGAAGCCAAAAUAAACAGUGAAAACCCAAAUCCUCACAAAGUCACUACAACCAGGUUGUCAGCAUAGCAGAUGAAGGACAUCUCUAAAAUGCAGAGGGUGUUUUUCCACUUUUUGGUGAUGGUGCUGUAGGAGCCACAGCUGCCACCGACUGCCUGUCCCAAGAGCCAGUUCCUGCUGCCAGAGACGUCAUCACCAGUCAAGCCUUCACCAGUUCUGAUGAAAAACACACAAAUGGCACGAGAGUUACCUUCAGCAUUUCAUCACAGUGGACAUUUUAUGUCAUUGAAUGGAAACUCACUUCACGUCGAUCCACCUCCAGACCAAUGACUCCUCAGGAUCCUGGUGUAAACCGAUCCAGACAUUAGUGAAGCCUUCUUCUAUCAGCCACGUCGUCAGCAGGUUUGGGUCCACCGUGUCCCAGGUGACCAUGUCUAUGUAGUACUUCUGGCAGUACCAUCUUGCUUUGUCCCAUGUCAGCUUCUGAGAAGGAAAAUAAAUGGUCUUUUGAACCUCAGCUUCUAUCCAGGCCACAACAUUAAAGAGGAGGAGAAGCACGAGUGCAGAGCAGCAGCCUUUCCUCCCCAUCUUUACUCCUGUUGUCGCAUCAAGUCAGAUGUGUCGGUGCUGGAGAGAAGCCUUGUGUCAUUUUAUACCGGCCUACAGGUCAGUGUCACUCAGACACACCUCAGUGCAUCCAGCAGACCAGUGACAUCGCUUCCUCACCUGCUUUUGGAGGGAAAUCACGACCCAACAUUUACAUGGACACGAGUUUUGGGUUUCGGAGGACAGCGUAGAUUAAAAUUUGACCCUUCUUCAGAUUUCACCCGUGCUUUUCUAAAUGAAUAAAUAAACACGCCAGUGAACACCAAA